UGGAGGAGCAGGGGUGAUGAUGUAGCUGACCUAUCAUGGAGGAGCAGGGUGAUGAUGUAGCUGACCUAUCAUGGAGGAGCAGGAUGAUGAUGUAGCUGACCUAUCAUGGAGGAGCAGGGGUGAAAAUGUAGCUGACCUAUCUUUGAGGAGCAGGGGUGGUGAUGUAGCUGACCUAUCAUGUAGGACCAGGAUGAUGUAGCUGACCUAUCAUGGAGGAGCAGGCUGAUGAUGUAGCUGACCUAUCAUGGAAGAGCAGGGUGAAGAUGUAGCUGACCUAUCAUGGAGGAGCAGGAGUGAUGAUGUAGCUGACCUAUCAUGGAGGAGCAGGGGUGAUGAUGUAGCUGACCUAUCAGGGAAGAGCAGGAGUGAUGAUGUAGCUGACCAAUCAUGGAGGAGCAGGAUGAUGAUGUAGCUGACCUAUCAUGGAUGAGCAGGAUGAUGAUGUAGCUGACCUGUCAUGGAGGAGCAGGAUGAUGUUGUAGCUAAUCUAUCAUGGAGUAGCAGGAUGAUGAUGUAGCUGACCUAUAAAGGAGGAGCAGGGUGAUGAUGUAGCUGACCUAUCAGGGAGGAGCAGGAGUCAUGAUGUAGCUGACCUAUCAUGGAGGAGCAGGAGUGAUGAUGUAGCUGACCUAUCAUGGAGGACGAGAAUGAAGUAGCUGACCAAUCAUGGAGGAGCAGGGGUGAUGAUGUUGCUGACCUAUCAUGGAUGAGCAGGGGUGAUGAUGUAGCUGACCUAUCAUGGAGGAGCAGAAUGAUGUAGCUGACCUAUCAUGGAGGAGAGGGGUGAUGAUGUAGCUGACCUAUCAUGGAGGAGCAGGAUAAUGAUGAAGCUGACCUAUCAUGGAGGAGCAGGGGUGAUGAUGUAGCUGACCUAUCAUGGAGGAGCAGGGGAGAUGAUGUAGCUGACCUAUCAUGGAGGAGCAGGAGUGAUGAUGUAGCUGACCUAUCAUGAAGGAGCAGGAUGAUGUAGCUGACCUAUCAUUGAGGAGCAGGGGUGAUAAUGUAGCUGACCUAUCAUGGAUGAGCAGGUGUGAUGAUGUAACUGACCUAUCAUGGAGGAGCAGGGGUGCUGAUGUAGCUGACCUAUCAUGGAGGAGCAGGGGUGAUUAUGUAGCUGACCUAUCAUGGAGGAGCAGGGAUGAUGAUGUAGCUGACCUAUCAUGAGGAGCAGGAUGAUGUAGCUGACCUUUCAUGGAGGAGCAGGAGUGAUGAUGUAGCUGAUCUAUCAUGGAGGAGCAGAAUGAUGUAGCUGACCUAUCAUGGAAGAGCAGGGUGAUGAUGUAGCUGACCUAUCAUGGAUGAGCAGGCUGAUGAUGUAGCUGACCUAUCAUGGAAGAGCAGGGUGAAGAUGUAGCUGACCUAUCAUGGAGGAGCAGGAUGAUGAGGUAGCUGACCUAUCAUGGAGGAGCAUGGGUGAUGAUGUAGUUGACUUAUCAUGAAGGAGCAGGAUGAUGUAGCUGACCUAUCAUUGAGGAGCAGGGGUGAUAAUGUAGCUGACCUAUCAUGGAUGAGCAGGGGUGAUGAUGUAGCUGACCUAUCAUGGAGGAGCAGAAUGAUGUAGCUGACCAAUCAUGGAGGAGCAGGGGUGAUGAUGUUGCUGACCUAUCAUGGAGGAGCAGGGGUGAUGAUGUAGCUGACCUAUCAUGGAGGAGCAGAAUGAUGUAGCUGACCUAUCAUGGAAGAGCAGGGUGAUGCUGACCUAUCAUUGAGGAGCAGAAUGAUGUAGCUGACCUAUCAUGGAAGAGCAGGGUGAUGAUGUAGCUGACCUAUCAUGGAGGAGCAGGCUGAUGAUGUAGCUGACCUAUCAUGGAAGAGCAGGGUGAAGAUGUAGCUGACCUAUCAUGGAGGAGCAGGAUGAUGUAGCUGACCUAUCAUGGAAGAGCAGGGUGAUGAUGUAGCUGACCUAUCAUUGAGGAGCAGGGGUGAUAAUGUAGCUGACCUAUCAUGGAUGAGCAGGGGUGAUGAUGUAACUGACCUAUCAUGGAGGAGCAGGGGUGCUGAUGUAGCUGACCUAUAAUGGAGGAACAGGGGUGAUGAUGUAGCUGACCUAUCAUGGAGGAGCAGGGGUGAUGAUGUAGCUGACCUAUCAUGAGGAGCAGGAUGAUGUAGCUGACCUUUCAUGGAGGAGCAGGAGUGAUGAUGUAGCUGAUCUAUCAUGGAGGAGCAGGAUGAUGAUGUAGCUGGCCUAUCAUGGAGCUGCAGGGGUGAUGAUGUAGCUGACCUAUCAUGAAGGAGCAGGAUGAUGUAGCUGAUCUAUCAUGGAGGAGUAGGAUGAUGAUGUAGCUGACCUAUCAUGGAGGAGCAGGAUAAUGAUGUAGCUGACCUAUCAGGGAGGAGCAGGGGUGAUGAUGUAGCUGACCUAUCAUGGAGGAGCAGGGGUGAUGAUGUAGCUGACCUAUCAUGGAGGAGCAGGGGUGAUGAUGUAGCUGACCUAUCAUGGAGGAUCAAGGUGAUGAUGUAGCUGACCUAUCAUGGAGGAGCAGGGGUGAUGAUGCAACUGACCUAUCAUGGAGGAGCAGGGGUGAUGAUGUAGCUGACCUAUCAUGGAGAAGCAGGGGUGAUGAUGUAGCUGACCUUUCUUGGAGGAGCAGGGGUGACGAUGUAGCUGACCUAUCAUGGAGGAGCAGGGGUGAUGAUGUAGCUGACCUAUCAUGGAGGAGCAGGGUUGAUGAUGUAGCUGACCUAUCAUGGAGGAGCAGGGGUGAUGAUGUAGCUGACCUUUGAUGGAGGAGCAGGGGUGAUGAUGUAGCUGACCUAUCAUGGAGGAGCAUGGGUGAUUAUGUAGUUGACCUAUCAUGAAGGAGCAGGAUGAUGUAGCUGACCUAUCAUUGAGGAGCAGGAGUGAUAAUGUAGCUGACCUAUCUUGGAUGAGCAGGGGUGAUGAUGUAACUGACCUAUCAUGGAGGAGCAGGGGUGCUGAUGUAGCUGACCUAUAAUGGAGGAACAGGGGUGAUGAUGUAGCUGACCUAUCAUGGAGGAGCAGGGGUGAUGAUGUAGCUGACCUAUCAUGAGGAGCAGGAUGAUGUAGCUGACCUUUCAUGGAGGAGCAGGAGUGAUGAUGUAGCUGAUCUAUCAGGGAGGAGCAGGAUGAUGAUGUAGCUGGCCUAUCAUGGAGCUGCAGGGGUGAUGAUGUAGCUGACCUAUCAUGAAGGAGCAGGAUGAUGUAGUUGAUCUAUCAUGGAGGAGUAGGAUGAUGAUGUAGCUGACCUAUCAUGGAGGAGCAGGAUAAUGAUGUAGCUGACCUAUCAGGGAGGAGCAUGGGUGAUGAUGUAGUUGACCUAUCAUGGAGGAGCAGGGGUGAUGAUGUAGCUGACCUAUCAUGGAGGAGCAGGGGUGAUGAUGUAGCUGACCUAUCAUGGAGGAGCAGGGGUGAUGAUGUAGCUGACCUAUCAUGGAGGAGCAGGGGUGAUGAUGUAGCUGACCUAUCAUGGAGGAGCAGGGGUGAUGAUGUAGCUGACCUAUCAUGGAGGAGCAGGGGUGAUGAUGUAGCUGACCUUUGAUGGAGGAGCAGGGGUGAUGAUGUAGCUGACCUAUCAUGGAUGAGCAGGAUGAUGAUGUAGCUGACCUAUCAUGGAGGAGCAGGGGUGUUGAUGUAGCUGACCUAUCAUGGAGGAGCAGAUUGAUGUAGCUGACCUAUCAUGGAGGAGCAGGGGUGAUGAUGUAGCUGACCUUUGAUGGAGGAGCAGGGGUGAUGAUGUAGCUGACCUAUCAUGGAUGAGCAGGAUGAUGAUGUAGCUGACCUAUCAUGGAGGAGCAGGGGUGAUGAUGUAGCUGACCUAUCAUGGAGGAGCAGAUUGAUGUAGCUGACCUAUCAUGGAGGAGCAGGAGCGAUGAUGUAGCUGACCUAUAAUGGAGGUGCAGGGGUGAUGAUGUAGCUGACCUAUCAUGGAGGAGCAGAAUGAUGUAGCUUACCUAUCAUGGAGGAGCAGGGGUGAUGAUGUAGCUGACCUAUCAUGGAGGAGCAGGGGUGAUGAUGUAGCUGACCUAUCACGGAGGAGCAGGGGUGAUGAUGUAGCUGACCUAUCACGGAGGAUCAGGGUGAUGAUGUAGCUGACCUAUCAUGGAGGAGCAGGGGUGAUGAUGCAACUGACCUAUCAUGGAGGAGCAGGGGUGAUGAUGUAGCUGACCUAUCAUGGAGGAGCAGGGUUGAUGAUGUAGCUGACCUAUCAUGGAGGAGCAGGGGUGAUGAUGUAGCUGACCUAUCAUGGAG
rnacentral:lncRNA from 1 species